GAUGAACGCUGGCGGCGUGCCUAAUACAUGCAAGUCGAGCGAACAGACGAGGAGCUUGCUCCUCUGACGUUAGCGGCGGACGGGUGAGUAACACGUGGAUAACCUACCUAUAAGACUGGGAUAACUUCGGGAAACCGGAGCUAAUACCGGAUAAUAUAUUGAACCGCAUGGUUCAAUAGUGAAAGACGGUUUUGCUGUCACUUAUAGAUGGAUCCGCGCCGCAUUAGCUAGUUGGUAAGGUAACGGCUUACCAAGGCGACGAUGCGUAGCCGACCGGAGAGGGUGAUCGGCCACCCUGGAACUGAGACACGGUCCAGACUCCUAAGGGAGGCAGCAGUAGGGAAUCUUCCGCAAUGGGCGAAAGCUUGACGGAGCAACGCCGCGUGAGAGAUGAAAGUCUUCGGAUCGUAAAACUCUGUUAUUAGGGAAGAACAAAUGUGUAAGUAACUAUGCACGUCUUGACGGUACCUAAUCAGAAAGCCACGGCUAACUACGUG
rnacentral:rRNA from 1 species